GAUUAACGCUGGCGGCGUGCCUUAUGCAUGCAAGUCGAACGGGCCCGCAAGGGCUAGUGGCGAACGGGUGCGUAACGCGUAAGCAACCUAUCCCUAAGUAUAGGACAACUCGCUGAAAGGCGGGCUAAUACUGUAUGUGGUCGUUCUUUGAGAUAGGAACGACUAAAGCCGCAAGGCGCUUGGGGAGGGGCUUGCGUCCGAUUAGCUAGUUGGUGAGGUAACGGCCCACCAAGGCGACGAUCGGUAGCUGGUUUGAGAGGACGACCAGCCACACGGGGACUGAGACACGGCCCCGACUCCUACGGGAGGCAGCAGCAGGGAAUAUUGCGCAAUGGGCGAAAGCCUGACGCAGCGACGCCGCGUGGGGGAUGAAGGUCUUCGGAUUGUAAACCCCUUUUCUUGGGGACGAAUAAUGACGGUACCCAAGGAAUAAGUCACGGCUAACUACGUGCCAGCCGCCGCCGUAA
rnacentral:rRNA from 1 species